UCCAAAUUCCUCCAGUUCAGGGUUUUUUUGAGCUGCUUCUUCUUCUUCUUCUCUGUCUAAAAUCAAAAUGCCCCCCUCCAUCACCUCUCUACAACUCCGUUGCUUUCUCCGCCAUUACUGCCUCUCUCCUGCUCCAUACCUCACUCACUCUGCUUCCUCUUCUUCUUUUACCCCUACCCUUCUCACCAAACUUACGUUCCUGCCACUUUCUCUCUCUAGACCCUUCUCCUCUCAGACCAUAAACCCUAGCAAUGAUCCAGAUCCCAUUGCCCAGUCUAUUUCCACAGAGCUCAUCAAAAUCCCCGACACUGAAUCCCUCUCAAUUUCGCAAAGACUCAAUCUCAAUUUCUCUCACAUCACCAGCUCCAUAACUCCGUCGUUGGUCCUGCAGACGCUCAAUCUCUCCCCUGAUGCUGGACGUGCGGUGCUGGGAUUUCACCAAUGGCUGGUCACGGCUGCUGGGUUUAAGCAAACAGAUGAAACGAUAUCGUUUUUUAUUGAUUACUUUGGUCGAAGGAAUGAUUUCCAAUCUACCCAUGAGCUGCUUCGUGAUGGUAAAGGUCUCGUUGGGUCUAAAAGUCUGGAAUCGAUGGUUGAUAGGCUUGUCCGGGCGGGGAGGCCUACCAAGGUGGUUGGAUUUUUCGAUAGGAUGGAGAGAGAUUAUGGGUUUAAGCGAGAUAGGGAGUCUCUCACAUUGAUAGUGAAUAAGUUGUGUGAUAACGGGUACGCGAGUUAUGCAGAGAGGAUGGUGAAAAACUUGGCUAAUGAGAUUUUCCCGGAUGAGAGAAUAUGUGAUUUGUUGAUCAAAGGUUGGUGUGUUGAUGGAAAACUUGAGGAGGCUAAAAGGUUAGCUGGUGAGAUGUAUAGGGGUGGUUUUGAGAUCGGUGCGAUGGCUUAUAAUGCGAUUCUUGAUUGUGUUUGCAAGCUUUGUAGAGCAAAAGAUCCGUUUAGGUUACAUUCUGAGGCAGAGAAGGUGUUGAUAGAAAUGGACACUCGUGGGGUUCCAAGAAAUGUGGAGACAUUCAAUGUUUUGAUUAAUAAUCUAUGCAAGAUGAGGAAAACUCAGGAUGCUAUGAAUUUGUUUUACAGGAUGGGUGAGUGGGGGUGUAAUCCUGAUGAGACUACAUUUCUUGUUUUGAUUAAGAGUUUGUAUCAGGCAGCGAGAGUGGGAGAGGGGGAUGAGAUGAUUGAUAGAAUGAAGAGUGCUGGGUAUGGAGAGAAGCUUGAUAAGAAGGCUUAUUACAGUUUCUUGAAGAUUUUGUGCGGUAUUGAGAGGCUUGAGCAUGCCAUGACUGUGUUUGAGAUGAUGAAGGCAGAUGGAUGUAAACCUGGGAUAAAGACUUACGACUUGUUAUUUGGGAAUUGGUGUGCUCAUAAUCGUCUGGAUAAGGCAAAUUCCCUGUUUAAUGAAGCUUUGAGUAAUGGGGUGCCAGUCACGCCAAAAGAGUAUAGAGUGGAUGCAAAAUUUUUGAAGCCAAAGGCUGUGAAGAAAGAGAAGAAGAGGGAGACUUUGCCUGAGAAGAUGGCAAGGAAGAGACAGCGACUGAAGAAGAUAAGGCUAAGUUUUGUGAAGAAGCCAAGAAAAAUGAUGCGUCCAGCCUUCUGAUCAUACUUGAACUUUUUCUAUCAAGUCGAAUUGUGAUGGUCAAGGCUGCUUGCCUGCUAAAGUGAUACUUUUGUUAUCAGUAUCACCAUGAUUUAUUUUUCCAGAGAGGUAAACAACCUAAAACGUGGGAGACUCAAAUGUGACAGUGCAUUCCUAGAAGUUGCCAAUUGAGAGUUCUACGUUGGUUCUUUCUAUCAGAGAGAAAACAGAACAACAAUUGUUCUAACCUGGCAUCUACAUCCAACUCCUUUGCCUUCUCUUUUCCACCAAUGGAGUAUGCCGAUGGUGUAACUUGCGGAAUUUGCACCAACAGAAGUACACUGAAGAAGGGACAUCUCGGUGGAUUUUAUAGGAGGCUCUAUAACUUACCAGAGAAGUUCUUAAAAGGCCUCUUGUAUUACUUCAUGAAAUAAUAUAGAUAUAAGAAAUGUGUAAAACAAAAUAUGGGAAAGAGUUGCGCGAAAUCAAGAAAUUUGUAAUGGAAAAAUAGAUAGGAUUAAUUUUGA